UACCGCCCUAACCAAGGCGACGAUGGCGUAGCCGACUGAGAGGGGUGAUCGGCACACUAGGACUGAGAACACGUCCAGACUCCUACGGGAGGCAGCAGUAGGGAUCUACCGCAUGGACGAAAGUCUGACGGAGCACGCCGCGUGAGUGACGAAGGCCUUCCGGGUCGUAAAACUCUGUAUCAGGGAAGAACAAGCAUUGGUUACCUGCCAGUGCCUGACGGUACCUGACCAGAAAGCCACGGCUAACUACGUGCCAGCAGCCGCGGUAAUACGUAGGUGGCAAGCGUUGUCCGGAAUUAUUGGGCGUAAAGCGCGCGCAGGCGGCUUCUUAAGUCUGAUGUGAAAGCCCACGGCUCAACCGUGGAGGGUCAUUGGAAACUGGGAGGCUUGAGUGCAGAAGAGAAGAGCGGAAUUCCACGUGUAGCGGUGAAAUGCGUAGAGAUGUGGAGGAACACCAGUGGCGAAGGCGGCUCUUUGGUCUGUAACUGACGCUGAGGCGCGAAAGCGUGGGGAGAGAACAGGAUUAGAUACCCUGGUAUUCCACGCCGUAAACGAUGAGUGCUAAGUGUUAGGGGGUUUCCGCCCCUUAGUGCUGCAGCAAACGCAUUAAGCACUCCGCCUGGGGAGUACGGCCGCAAGGCUGAAACUCAAAGGAAUUGACGGGGGCCCGCACAAGCGGUGGAGCAUGUGGUUUAAUUCGAAGCAACGCGAAGAACCUUACCAGGUCUUGACAUCCCGCUGGCCGCUCUGGAGACAGAGUCUUCCCUUCGGGGACAGCGGUGACAGGUGGUGCAUGGUUGUCGUCAGCUCGUGUCGUGAGAUGUUGGGUUAAGUCCCGCAACGAGCGCAACCCUUGAUCUUAGUUGCCAGCAUUAAGUUGGGCACUCUAAGGUGACUGCCGGUGACAAACCGGAGGAAGGUGGGGAUGACGUCAAAUCAUCAUGCCCCUUAUGACCUGGGCUACACACGUGCUACAAUGGAUGGUACAGAGGGCAGCAAGACCGCGAGGUGGAGCAAAUCCCUUAAAACCAUUCUCAGUUCGGAUUGCAGGCUGCAACUCGCCUGCAUGAAGCCGGAAUCGCUAGUAAUCGCGGAUCAGCAUGCCGCGGUGAAUACGUUCCCGGGCCUUGUACACACCGCCCGUCACACCACGAGAGUUUGUAACACCCGAAGUCGGUGGGGUAACCAUUUGGAGCCAGCCGCCGAAUGUUGCACCGGCGG
rnacentral:rRNA from 2 species